rnacentral:rRNA from 1 species
GAGUUUGAUCCUGGCUCAGAACGAACGCUGGCGGCGUGCUUAACACAUGCAAGUCAGGGAGAAAGUCUCUUCGGGGAUGAUUAAACCGGCGCACGGGUGAGUAACACGUGAGUGACCUGCCUUUUAGACUGGAACAACUUACCGAAAGGUGAGCUAAUGCCGGAUGAGUUAUAUAAGUGCAUGUUUAUAUAGGAAAAGUUGGGGAGACCUGACGCUGAAAGAUGGACUCGCGUCCCAUUAGCUAGUUGGUAGGGUAAUGGCCUACCAAGGCGACGAUGGGUAGCCGGCCUGAGAGGGUGGCCGGCCACACUGGGACUGAGACACGGCCCAGACUCCUACGGGAGGCAGCAGUGGGGAAUUUUGCGCAAUGCUCGUAAGAGUGACGCAGCGACGCCGCGUGAAUGACGAAGGCCUUCGGGUCGUAAAGUUCUUUCGACAGGGAAGAAAAUGCCUAUAAGUAACUGUGUAUGUAUUGACGGUACCUGUAUAAGCAGCCCCGGCUAACUCCGUGCCAGCAGCCGCGGUAAUACGGAGGGGGCGAGCGUUGUUCGGAGUGACUGGGCGUAAAGAGCACGUAGGCGGUGUUGUAAGUCAUUAGUCAAAGACUAGAGCUCAACUUUAGUAAGGCUAGUGAUACUAUAAUACUAGAGUAUCAGAGAGGAUUGCAGAAUUCCUGGUGUAGCGGUGAAAUGC